rnacentral:lncRNA from 1 species
UUUUUUUUUGUUCCUUUUUUAGAUUUAUGUAUGGUUAUAGUUUCUUUGCACUUAUCAUUUUUUUAUCCUAGAUAAAUCUGCUGCCCCUACCAAGAAUACUCAUAUUACUUCAAUGUAAAGAAGUUCUAUUUAUCCGUUUCAGACAUAAAUGUGGAAAGUAACAGGACUUAUGAUCUUUUCCUGACCCUAGAGGUUAUGUAGAGUGGGAUUGCUUAGUUCCCCUCAGAACUUCCUCUUCUCCUGCAAUUGCGUACACCAAAGAAUAUUUGUCUGGCCAUCCUGUCAUGUUUAACAGUUUAAGCAUAAAUGUUUCUUCUGCCUUUGUUAACAAACAUGUUCCAACGGUUGUGGUGAUAUUUCGGUGUUCAUGUAUGAGGUUGAUGCAGUGAUUGGAGCUUUGCAACGAUUGCACUGGAAAGCAUACAGACAUAGGCUCUGUUUGGAUGUAGAUACUCAAGCCACGGAAUUGAAAUGGGGUGUUUAUCAGAAUUUGCUUAUCAGUACUACUAUUAUGUCUGUUCAGAGUCGAAAAUUUCUACAUGUAAAAGGAUUCUGGACGAUCGUACUUCCUCUCUUGUACCGAAAUUGAAAUGUUGUACCAACAUUGGCCAUACCCAUAUUCUGCAUGAAAUUUCGUCUGGACAAUUUGCUUCACUUGAAUCAAAGAACUUCCUAGUUUCUUUACUUUCUAAACAUGCUACCAGGAUCUCGGAAUCACGACCGCUACAGCUCCCACAUAACUGCAGGUCGCACUACAGCUUUGACUGUUUGCUGAAAUCAGAACAAAGUGGCAAACUGGUGCGCGUGAGAGUGACAAACAGUUGGGCCAAAUCCUGAAGAAAGCUCAAAUCCCUCAAAAGUGACACAAAUCACUGGAGCAGGGGGAAACGGCAAAUCAUAGAUGACACUUUGAUUUGAGGAGAAGCCACAGACUACUUGGUAAAAGAGAAACUGGGUCCAUGCGGAAACAAAUUGGUCUCUACAGAUGGAAUGAAUAUGCAUGCACUUAAAACGCAAAAAUGAGCUCCAAACACAUUUGUACACAGACAGAAUAUAAAAGUGAUUCAAUAGAACACACAGAACAUGUUGCUAUUACAAUACGGCAACAAAUAACAAAGCUCUGGUUCCAUACGAUAGUCAGCAUUGUAUUUAUUUCGACAAAGAGAAAAAAACAAAGCACUUCUUACCUAAGCUUGCAGUAGUUCUAGUUCUCAAAACACCAUGAUGGAUAGAGAAUAUAUGCAUAAAAGUCCACGAGAACAACAUAGGGCGACUCGAGCAUAGCUCUUACUAACUUCCUACACAGCGCUCUUCUACCAGUCUUCU